UUAUUAUUGUAAAAUUAAUUAUAAUUGACUUUGAAGAGUAUUAUAUUCUAUUAAUUUUGGGUAAAAGUAUCUCUUGUUGAGUUAAAAUAAUUUCGUGUAAUAUUUUUCACACUUAUGAAGACGGUCAGUGAUUGGUCAGUGUGUGUAAUAAUAGAACCUGCUAUUGGCGGUAUUUUUGCACGAGAUACAGAACAACAAAGACGUGUCUGAUGUUGUGUCUAAAUGUAGGUGAUCAGUGUAUUACGUUGACCUUGACCUGUCGUGGUGGCCAUUUUUUGGGCCGGAUAUUGCGUGCCUUGUUUAGGAGCACUGUCAUUGAUUCAUUCAUUGAUUCAUCAUUGAUUGAUCACAUUACACUACAACUGUGAAUAAAAGGUGAAAA